UACAGAGGGGGCCAGCGUUAUUCGGAAUUAUUGGGCGUAAAGGGCGCGUAGGCGGCCAUGCGUGUCUUCCGUGAAAUCCCUCGGCUUAACUGAGGACGUGCGGAAGAAACUGCAAGGCUCGAGUCCGGGAGAGGUGAGUGGAAUUCCUAGUGUAGAGGUGAAAUUCGUAGAUAUUAGGAAGAACACCAGUGGCGAAGGCGGCUCACUGGCCCCGGGUACUGACGCUGAGG
rnacentral:rRNA from 1 species